UUGAUUAGGAAAUGUGUUUAAUUUUAUUAAAAUAAAGAAAAUUUAAAGCGAACUACGAAAAAUAAUGCGCAAUAUGUUUGUCGUUUUCGGACACGAAACUGUGACAUUAUCGAUAGUGUGUGAGCUUAGUCGAUAGUUUUGAGUGCGAUAGCUCGGUCUGCAGAUUUGAUGCCAUUUGCUUUCAUUUACGAAAUUUCCAUUGGAUAUCCAUUCGGUCGGGAAAGGACUUUGGGUACCGAAAAAUAACUACAUAUAUUAACCCAAGGAAGAGAUUCUACUUUCUUGUGGAGCUUGCCAGGCCUAUAAACACAUUCAGCGGGGUGGACGCCAAGGAUAAGGGCUCUGGCGUUGUAAAGCAACCCCCGUCUUUGCGAUUGCCAGCGUUGCCGUUGCGGCGAGUUGCCCAGCGGACUAUCUGCAUUGCCUAGCGCUGAUAUGAGUGCUGCCAAGAAGUAUAAGCCCGUGGACACUACAGAGCUGCAUGAAAACAGUGAAAACAUUGCAGCUUGUCUGAAAAAGGCCGAAAACGAAAACGUUUCCACUGCUACCUCCCCUUUAAGUUUGGGACGAAGUGCAUUUGCCGCACAAAAUAUGAAUUCCUCCGCAUCGACUAACGGCGAGCGCUUGCCAAAUUUCUCCAAGUUGCAUGGCAAUGAAAUACGAUCGUCUUCAACUACCUCAAAUCUCUUGAAUCGCAUGGGAGCUAUUCAUAACAGCAAGCCGGGCGACGUCAAGAAGAUUGUGAUUAAGAAUUUCAAGGCUAAGCCUAUACUGCCCGAUAACUAUUCCGAAGAAACUUACGUGAAACUGGAGGAAGCUGUCAUCGCCAUUCAACUAUCGAAACCUAUUAAAUAUUCUCUGGAAGAGCUCUAUCAAGCCGUCGUAAAUAUGUGUAGUCAUAAAAUGGAUGCCCAAUUGUAUGCCAAACUGAAGGAGCUAACUGAACAGCACGUCAAACGGAACAUCAAACUAAAAGAACUCACUGGCGGGAGCAUGGACAAAUUGGUACUUCUGGAGAAAAUAAAUAACUGGUGGCUCUCAUUCUGCCAGCAAAUGAUCAUGAUACGUAGCAUAUUUUUAUACAUGGAUCGCACCUAUGUCUUGCAAAACUCAGCAAUACACUCGAUCUGGGAUAUGGGGCUCGACCUUUUUCGCAUUCAUUUUGCUCAGAAUAGUGUUGUCCAGAAGCGAACUGUCGACGGACUGCUCGCUCUUAUCGAGAAAGAGCGGCAAGGUUCCACUGUGGAUCGCGGUCUCCUGAAAAGUUUGGUUCGUAUGUUAUGCGAUCUACAGAUUUACACAUUGUCCUUCGAGGAAAAGUUUUUGGAUGCAACCAAUCAACUGUACAAGGCUGAAAGUCAACGCAAAAUGCAAGAAUUGGAGGUGCCCGAAUAUUUGCAACAUGUUAAUAAACGUUUAUCUGAGGAAAAUGAACGGCUACUCCAUUAUCUGGACUCAAGCACAAAGCAUCCUUUAAUAUACAAUGUGGAAAAGGAGCUUUUGGCCGAACAUUUGACCACAAUACUGCAAAAGGGCUUGGAUUCACUGCUAGAAGACAAUCGACUGAAUGAUUUAACCUUGCUGUAUGGCCUGCUUAGCAGGGUAAAAAAUGGAACUUCCGAACUUUGCGGAAACUUUAAUGGCUACAUUAAGAAAAAGGGCCGCACUAUUGUUAUUGAUCCCGAGAAGGACAAAAGUAUGGUGCAAGAUCUUCUUGAUUUUAAGGAUAAAAUGGAUAUCAUUGUCCGCAAUUGUUUUGACCAUAAUGAAAAGUUUACGAAUUCUCUGAGGGAAGCAUUCGAGUUCUUUAUUAAUCAGCGGGCUAAUAAACCGGCCGAACUUAUAGCUAAAUAUGUGGACAUGAAACUACGUUCAGGCAAUAAGGGUACCACCGAUGAGGAAUUGGAAAAAACGCUAGACAAAAUUAUGGUUUUGUUCCGUUUCAUUCACGGGAAAGAUGUCUUUGAAGCAUUUUAUAAAAAAGAUUUGGCAAAGCGUUUGCUUGUCGGCAAAUCGGCAUCUGUUGAUUCGGAGAAAAGUAUGCUAUCAAAACUAAAACAAGAGUGUGGCGGUGGAUUUACCUCUAAAUUGGAAGGCAUGUUCAAGGAUAUGGAACUGAGUAGAGAUAUUAACACAGCUUUUCGUGGCCAUGCUCUAAGCAAUAAUCGAGACGUCCAUAAUCUUGAUUUGUGCGUUAGCAUAUUGACCAUGGGUAAUUGGCCCACAUAUCCACCCACAGAGGUGACCAUGCCGCCUCAAUUCAUUAACCCGCAGCAGAUAUUCAAUAAGUUUUAUUUGGAGAAGCACAGCGGCAGAAAAUUGCAGUGGCAGCCCACACUUGGCAACUGUAUGCUAAGGGCCCAGUUUGAUGCGGGCCCCAAGGAGUUAAUGGUAUCCCUGUUUCAGGCAUUGGUUCUGCUUUUGUUUAAUGAUAAGCCUACCCUUGGAUAUGAGGAGAUUUUGGCCGCUACCAGCAUUGAGGAUGGUGAACUAAGACGAACAUUACAGUCCUUGGCCUGCGGACGGGCUCGGGUUAUAACAAAAACGCCCAAGGGUCGGGAUAUUGAAGAUGGGGAUCAGUUUGAUUUUAACAACGAGUUCACAAACAAACUGUUUCGCAUCAAAAUUAAUCAAAUUCAAAUGAAGGAGACGAACGAGGAGCAAAAGGCCACUGAGGAACGCGUUUUCCAGGAUCGGCAAUAUCAAAUCGAUGCGGCCAUUGUGCGGAUCAUGAAAAUGCGUAAGACGCUAAGCCACAACCUGCUUAUCACAGAGCUAUUUAAUCAGCUAACUUUUCCCGUCAAGCCUGCUGAUUUAAAGAAACGAAUCGAGUCUCUUAUCGAUCGGGACUACAUGGAGCGGGAUAAGGAUAAUCAAAAUCAAUACAACUAUGUGGCCUAAGUCCAAAAUUGUAGCUUCGAUUAUUAUCCUACAAAAAUGCAAAACCGAGUCCAACGAACUGGUAUGGUUGCGUGUAUGUGUCAGAUGAAUGAAAUAUGAAUAGUAUAAUACUGAUGUUGUAGUCCUAGUUGCUACGGUUGAUUUCAUUAUUAGAAAUACGGAGAACUUGACCUCGAGUACUUGUACUCAAUUCGCUUAUUCGCAUUUACUGCCGAUGACUCUUCAUUACUUGUUUUCUUAAGGCACUUUUUUAAUUAACAAAGAAUAGAAGAGAACAGUUGAAUAUUGAAGGUUCAUUCUUUAUCCAAAUCUUGGAAUAAAAUACAGCGAUUUGUAUUAACUAUAUAGUAGCAUUUUAAUCAGAAUCAAAGUUAAUUACAAUUGAACCCCGACGUACACAUUGUCGGUUGCCCGUUUUGCACAAUUUCUUUAAUUUUUAUAGGAGCAUUAAGCAAAGUACUGAAGAUAGCAAUGAAAGUUAGAUUUAUUACAAUAUAAUUAUUUACAACUAAUAAAUAAUAGAUACAAAUAUGUUAA